rnacentral:rRNA from 1 species
UGCAAGUCGAGCGGAUGAAAGGAGCUUGCUCCUGGAUUCAGCGGCGGACGGGUGAGUAAUGCCUAGGAAUCUGCCUGGUAGUGGGGGACAACGUUUCGAAAGGAACGCUAAUACCGCAUACGUCCUACGGGAGAAAGCAGGGGACCUUCGGGCCUUGCGCUAUCAGAUGAGCCUAGGUCGGAUUAGCUAGUUGGUGAGGUAAUGGCUCACCAAGGCGACGAUCCGUAACUGGUCUGAGAGGAUGAUCAGUCACACUGGAACUGAGACACGGUCCAGACUCCUACGGGAGGCAGCAGUGGGGAAUAUUGGACAAUGGGCGAAAGCCUGAUCCAGCCAUGCCGCGUGUGUGAAGAAGGUCUUCGGAUUGUAAAGCACUUUAAGUUGGGAGGAAGGGCUGUAAAUUAAUACUUUGCUGUUUUGACGUUACCGACAGAAUAAGCACCGGCUAACUCUGUGCCAGCAGCCGCGGUAAUACAGAGGGUGCAAGCGUUAAUCGGAAUUACUGGGCGUAAAGCGCGCGUAGGUGGUUUGUUAAGUUGGAUGUGAAAUCCCCGGGCUCAACCUGGGAACUGCAUCCAAAACUGGCAAGCUAGAGUAUGGUAGAGGGUGGUGGAAUUUCAUGUGUAGCGGUGAAAUGCGUAGAUAUAGGAAGGAACACCAGUGGCGAAGGCGACCACCUGGACUGAUACUGACACUGAGGUGCGAAAGCGUGGGGAGCAAACAGGAUUAGAGACCCUGGUAGUCCACGCCGUUAACUAUGUCAACUAGCCGUUGGGAGCCUUGAACUCAGAUUGGCGCAGCUCACGCAUUAAAUUGACCGCCUGGUUAGUACGGCCGC